CGGGGCGUAGCUCAGUCUGGUAGAGCGCACGGUUCGGGACCGUGAGGCCGGUGGUUCAAGUCCACUCGCCCCGACCA
rnacentral:tRNA from 3 species